CCCUUAGAUGUUCUGGGCCGCACGCGCGCUACACUGACGAAGUCAGCGAGCAUGUCCUACGCCGACAGGUGCGGGGAAUCUUGUCAAACUUCGUCGUGAUGGGGAUUGAUUAUUGAAAUUCUUGAUCAUCAACGAGGAAUUCCUAGUAAGCGCAAGUCAGCAGCUUGCGUUGAUUACGUCCCUGCCCUUUGUACACACCGCCCGUCGCUCCUACCGAUGAAUCGUCCGGUGAAGUUCACAGAGUGGCGGUUCGUGGAGUUGCUCGCGAAGUGAAAUGGACCUCACGAUUUAGAGGAAGGAGAAGUCGUAACA
rnacentral:rRNA from 1 species